UACGUAGGGACCGAGCGUUGUCCGGAAUCAUUGGGCGUAAAGCGCACGUAGGCGGCUUGGCAAGUCGGAUGUGAAAGCCCUCGGCUCAACCAAGGAAGUGCAUCCGAAACUGCUGAGCUUGAGUACUUAAGAGGAUCGCGGAAUUCCCGGUGUAGAGGUGAAAUUCGUAGAUAUCGGGAGGAACACCAGUGGCGAAGGCGGCGAUCUGGGAAGAUACUGACGCUGAGGUGCGAAAGCGUCGGGAGCAAACAGG
rnacentral:rRNA from 1 species